CCAUCGGUGGUUCAGUGGUGGUUCAGGGGCUCGCCUGCCACGCGGGCGGCCCGGGUUCGAUUCCCGGCCGAUGCA